rnacentral:tRNA from 1 species
UGGGGGGUGGUCAAAUGGCAUGACGGCGGGCUUUGGCCCCGCAAGUUCAGGUUCGAUUCCUGGGCCCCCAA